AAGUCGAACGGCAGCAUGAUCUAGCUUGCUAGAUUGAUGGCGAGUGGCGAACGGGUGAGUAAUACAUCGGAACGUGCCCUGUAGUGGGGGAUAACUAGUCGAAAGAUUAGCUAAUACCGCAUACGACCUGAGGGUGAAAGUGGGGGACCGCAAGGCCUCAUGCUAUAGGAGCGGCCGAUGUCUGAUUAGCUAGUUGGUGGGGUAAAGGCCCACCAAGGCGACGAUCAGUAGCUGGUCUGAGAGGACGAUCAGCCACACUGGGACUGAGACACGGCCCAGACUCCUACGGGAGGCAGCAGUGGGGAAUUUUGGACAAUGGGCGAAAGCCUGAUCCAGCAAUGCCGCGUGUGUGAAGAAGGCCUUCGGGUUGUAAAGCACUUUUGUCCGGAAAGAAAUGGCUCUGGUUAAUACCUGGGGUCGAUGACGGUACCGGAAGAAUAAGGACCGGCUAACUACGUGCCAGCAGCCGCGGUAAUACGUAGGGUCCAAGCGUUAAUCGGAAUUACUGGGCGUAAAGCGUGCGCAGGCGGUUGUGCAAGACCGAUGUGAAAUCCCCGAGCUUAACUUGGGAAUUGCAUUGGUGACUGCACGGCUAGAGUGUGUCAGAGGGGGGUAGAAUUCCACGUGUAGCAGUGAAAUGCGUAGAGAUGUGGAGGAAUACCGAUGGCGAAGGCAGCCCCCUGGGAUAACACUGACGCUCAUGCACGAAAGCGUGGGGAGCAAACAGGAUUAGAUACCCUGGUAGUCCACGCCCUAAACGAUGUCAACUAGUUGUUGGGGAUUCAUUUCCUUAGUAACGUAGCUAACGCGUGAAGUUGACCGCCUGGGGAGUACGGUCGCAAGAUUAAAACUCAAAGGAAUUGACGGGGACCCGCACAAGCGGUGGAUGAUGUGGAUUAAUUCGAUGCAACGCGAAAAACCUUACCUACCCUUGACAUGCCACUAACGAACCAAAGAUGCAUUAGGUGCUCGAAAGANAAGUGGACACAGGUGCUGCAUGCUGUCGUCGCCUCGUGUCGUGGGAUGUUGGUUAAUCCCGCACCAGCCCACCCUUGUCUCUGUUGCUACAAAGGGNCCCUAGAAAACUGCCGUGANAACCNGANGAA
rnacentral:rRNA from 1 species